rnacentral:misc_RNA from 1 species
AAGUCGUAACAAGGUUUCCGUAGGUGAACCUGCGGAAGGAUCAUUACCGAAUUGUCAACAUGAAGUUGUUGCUGGCCCUCAGAUGGGGGCAUGUGCACGCUCUGUUUACACAUCCACUCACACCUGUGCACUCUCUGUAGUUCUAUGGUCUGGGGGCUCAGCCCUCCUACUGUGGUUCUGCGUAUUUACACACACACACUGUAAUAAAGUCUUAUGGAAUGUAUUUCGCGUUUAACGCAAUGCAAUACAACUUUCAGCAACGGAUCUCUUGGCUCUC